rnacentral:rRNA from 1 species
CGGUGAUAAACCGGAGGAAGGUGGGGACGACGUCAAGUCAUCAUGGCCCUUACGAGUAGGGUUACACACGUGCUACAAUGGCGCAUACAGAGGGCAGCGAACUAGCGAUAGUAAGUGAAUCCCAAAAAGUGCGUCGUAGUCCGGAUUGGAGUCUGCAACUCGACUCCAUGAAGUCGGAAUCGCUAGUAAUCGUGAAUCAGAAUGUCACGGUGAAUACGUUCCCGGGCCUUGUACACACCGCCCGUCACACCAUGGGAGUGGGCUGCAAAAGAAGCAG